rnacentral:lncRNA from 1 species
GACAGGUGUUCACACAAUCCAGGCACUCAUGAGGUUUUAAUCAUUAAACUAAACAGUUCUUUGAAAGCAGAGGAAUUUGGAGUUAAUUCUGAUCUUUAUACUUGUGCUGAUCACAUCCACUCCAGUGUGUCCAUGCAGUGACAUCCACGGGCCUGCCUAAGCAGCAAGCAGAAGGAAACAAAAUGGAGUCCUGCAUCCCUGAAAAUGAGACGCAGCGGAAAUUCUGUUGAUCUUUCUUCCCAAGAUCAUGCAUUAACGGCAUUCUGGCAGGACUAAGCUUAUGAUAAUGAAUUGAAUCAUAAAAAACAAUCAUAAAACAUCUCCAUAUUGCAUCCAUGAGAUUGACUAGGAUGAUUUACACUAAAUGGAUUUUUACAUGGAAUGGAUUUCUUUUCCAAAGUUCACCGAGAGUCAAGACUACAUCCCUACGUGUUUAGGAGCCAGAAAUUAUCGUGCCACACACGGUCAGGUGGCAUUUUUCCAGAAGCUGACAUGUCCUUUCAUUGCUAAAAACCUCAGUUUGGAAUGGAAUGGAGUCAAGUACAGGAAGGAGAUGAUUAUGGAAACUGUAAGAAUUUGAGACCUCAGCUAUCUUCAGACACAGCAAAACAUUUCCUCCUGUUAUCAGCAGGAACUGCCAGCAUGGUGUAAAUUUCUGAGGAGCAGUACUGAUUUUGGAGUGUUAUUAG